rnacentral:rRNA from 1 species
CAGCAGCCGCGGGAAUACGAAGGGGGCUAGCGUUGCUCGGAAUGACUGGGCGUAAAGGGCGCGUAGGCGGCGGCCAAAGUCAGGCGUGAAAUUCCUGGGCUCAACCUUGGGGCUGCGCUUGAUACUUGGUUGCUUGAGUGGGGAAGAGGGUCGUGGAAUUCCCAGUGUAGAGGUGAAAUUCGUAGAUAUUGGGAAGAACACCGGUGGCGAAGGCGGCGACCUGGUCCUUGACUGACGCUGAGGCGCGAAAGCGUGGGGAGCAAACAGGAUUAGAUACCCGAGUAGUCCCUGUCUCUUAUAC